AUUGAACGCUGGCGGAAUGCUUUACACAUGCAAGUCGAACGGUAGAGGGGGCAACCCCUUGAGAGUGGCGAACGGGUGAGUAAUAUAUCGGAACGUGCCCAGUCGUGGGGAUAACGUAGCGAAAGUUACGCUAAUACCGCAUACGAUCUAAGGAUGAAAGCGGGGGAUCGCAAGACCUCGCGCGAUUGGAGCGGCCGAUAUCAGAUUAGGUAGUUGGUGGGGGUAAAGGCUCACCAAGCCAACGAUCUGUAGCUGGUCUGAGAGGACGACCAGCCACACUGGAACUGAGACACGGUCCAGACUCCUACGGGAGGCAGCAGUGGGGGAAUUUUGGGACAAUGGACGCAAGUCUGAUCCAGCCAUUCCGCGUGCAGGAUGAAGGCCCUCGGGUUGUAAACUGCUUUUGUACGGAACGAAAAGGUUUGUCUUAAUACGAUGAGCUCAUGACGGUACCGUAAGAAUAAGCACCGGCUAACUACGUGCCAGCAGCCGC
rnacentral:rRNA from 1 species